UACAGAGGUGGCAAGCGUUGUUCGGAAUUACUGGGCGUAAAGGGCGCGUAGGCGGUCUUGUAAGUCUUGUGUGAAAUCCCUCGGCUUAACUGAGGAACUGCACGGGAUACUGCGAGACUUGAGUUCGGGAGAGGGAAGCGGAAUUCCGGGUGUAGCGGUGAAAUGCGUAGAUAUCGGGAGGAACACCAGUGGCGAAGGCGACUACCUGGCCUGUUUCUUGACGCUGAGGCGCGAAAGCGUGGGGAGCAAACAGG
rnacentral:rRNA from 1 species